UACACUCCUGCGGGAGGCAGCAGUGGGGAAUAUUGCACAAUGGGCGCAAGCCUGAUGCAGCCAUGCCGCGUGUAUGAAGAAGGCCUUCGGGUUGUAAAGUACUUUCAGCGGGGAGGAAGGCAAUACGGUUAAUAACCGUGUUGAUUGACGUUACCCGCAGAAGAAGCACCGGCUAACUCCGUGCCAGCAGCCGCGGUAAUACGGAGGGUGCAAGCGUUAAUCGGAAUUACUGGGCGUAAAGCGCACGCAGGCGGUCUGUCAAGUCGGAUGUGAAAUCCCCGGGCUCAACCUGGGAACUGCAUUCGAAACUGGCAGGCUUGAGUCUUGUAGAGGGGGGUAGAAUUCCAGGUGUAGCGGUGAAAUGCGUAGAGAUCUGGAGGAAUACCGGUGGCGAAGGCGGCCCCCUGGACAAAGACUGACGCUCAGGUGCGAAAGCGUGGGGAGCAAACAGGAUUAGAUACCCUUGUAGUCCC
rnacentral:rRNA from 1 species